CUCUUCUCUUCCCCAAAUUUUCUUGAAACCCUAAAUAAUUUUGUUCAAAGCAUGCUCUUCUUCUGCAGACAUGAAGAGCUUCACACGCCACCCUCACUUGUCAUAUCUUCCUUCGCACACGUCUCCUACCAUCUCUCUCAUCAGGUUCUAUACUUCUCCAUCUCUCUUUCCAACCAAUAACAAAUACCUCUUCCAACAAUCUUCUACUCUCAAGUUCGCAAGUUCGCAAUGGCAAGACCUUUCCAUAAGCUGAAUGACAUCAAUGAAAGUAAGGAAAUAUGGAAAAUUGCAGUCAGAAUCCAUCACAAGUGGAGAGAUUACUCAUUAUGUUACUAUAGUAAAAACAUUCAGACUCAAAGCUGCACCUGAGGGAUGGUAUUACCGAGCUUUCUAUUAUCUUUGAGUUGGUUGUAUUUGUUCCUAAUUACAAUGUCAGCGUUGGUGAAAUGCUAAUUCCUGCCAGUGAACUGUCCCAACACAUUCGGUAUAGAUAAAUUGUUUUUAACAAAAUAUUUUAUAUUUAAUUUACAAUAAAUUUAGCAGUUUUGGUUUUUGAAUGCUUUUUUUCUGAGCAUUUAGCACAGUUGGUAUGGAGGCCAGUGGAACAACCAACAUGAAAUUUGCAAUGAAUGGAUGUGUACAAAUUGGAACUCUGGACGGGGCUAACAUUGAAAUAAGAUAAGAAGUUGGAAAAACAACUUAUUUCUUUUUGGCGCACGAGCUCAAUAAAUUGUAGGGCUAAGGAAAGAAAGAGCAUAGGAAAAGGUAUGUUUAUUAACAAUCAGAAACCAGAAUAAUUGAUUCAAUGAAAUUGUUCAUUUUCUUUCCCAAAAUAUAUUUAUCUAACGUUCAAAGAGUCUUCUAUAGAUCCUUUAAGGCAUUGUUAAUUAAGUCGAAGCCAACCAAAUUAGGUAAAGAACUUUGUUUAGCUGCUUAUGGAGCGUAUGUGCGUCCUAUGCCAUAUUCAAACGAGAUUGGUUUGCGAAUGCUUAUAGGCGGGGUUGUCAGGGAGGCUGUUGUGUUGGGGUACCAUAUAACUCUGUUGUUUUCAUACUAUGCUUAUCAUGGACCUGUUUUUCGAGUCUUGCUCAGGUUGAAUCGUGGGAAGGUUCAUGACAGUAGGCAUUAGGGUUUUAUUGUGCAUUGCCACUAGUGUGGAAAUUCCAAUGAAUUUUCUUGGGACCAACUCGGUCAGUUCAGUUGCUUCUGCAGUGUGUCAAAGGUUUCAAACUCCCUUAAGGUAUCAGGACCUCUUUGGACAGGGGCUCUUCAUGAUGCAGAGUAUCUUACAGACACGUUAGAUCUGGCCAAGCAGUGGGGAUGGAUUGGCUAUGAUGGUAAAGACAGUCUUGAAAAGCUUAUAAACUUGAUGGUUGAUGAGUGUAACAAAGAUGGGCCUUACUUUGACUUAGAUGAUUGAGAAUCCAUAUGCAUUUUAUAGUGCUAUUUACAAUAAUGAUUACGAUGAAAUAGAGUGAUUCCCAUUGUUAUGUGAAAUUCAUGCUAGCUAAGGGCAAUUCUUUCGUUGUCUAUCUCAAUCUCAGUUUAGUUAGGAUUUUCUUUAUAAUAUUAUAUGAUCAUCU